rnacentral:rRNA from 1 species
GUGUCAGCAGCCGCGGUAAUACGUAGGGUGCAAGCGUUAAUCGGAAUUACUGGGCGUAAAGCGUGCGCAGGCGGUUAUAUAAGUCAGAUGUGAAAUCCCCGGGCUCAACCUGGGAACUGCAUUUGAGACUGUAUAGCUAGAGUACGGUAGAGGGGGAUGGAAUUCCGCGUGUAGCAGUGAAAUGCGUAGAUAUGCGGAGGAACACCGAUGGCGAAGGCAAUCCCCUGGACCUGUACUGACGCUCAUGCACGAAAGCGUGGGGAGCAAACAGGAUUAGAUACCCUGGUAGUCCACGCCCUAAACGAUGUCAACUGGUUGUUGGGUCUUCACUGACUCAGUAACGAAGCUAACGCGUGAAGUUGACCGCCUGGGGAGUGCGGCCGCAAGGUUGAAACUCAAAUGAAUUGGCGGGG